GUGAGGAAUAUUGGUCAAUGGACGAGAGUCUGAACCAGCCAAGUCGCGUGAAGGAAGACGGUUCUAUGAAUUGUAAACUUCUUUUGUGCAGGAAUAAAGUGGGUUACGUGUAACCUUUUGUAUGUACUGUACGAAUAAGGAUCGGCUAACUCCGUGCCAGCAGCCGCGGUAAUACGGAGGAUCCGAGCGUUAUCCGGAUUUAUUGGGUUUAAAGGGUGCGUAGGUGGAUUGAUAAGUCAGCGGUGAAAGUUUGCAGCUUAACUGUAAAAUUGCCGUUGAAACUGUCGGUCUUGAGUGCAAAUGAGGUAGGCGGAAUGUGUUGUGUAGCGGUGAAAUGCUUAGAUAUAACACAGAACUCCGAUUGCGAAGGCAGCUUACUGGGAUGCAACUGACACUGAUGCACGAAAGCGUGGGUAUCAAACAGGAUUAGAAACCCUGGUAGUCC
rnacentral:rRNA from 1 species